rnacentral:rRNA from 1 species
AGUAGCCGCGGUAAUUCCAGCUCCAAUAGCGUAUAUUAAAGUUGUUGCAGUUAAAAAGCUCGUAGUUGAAUUUCGGGGUUUAUCCGUUGGUCGGGCUUUUAGGUCUGUACUGGCGUGAUGGAUUCCUACCUUCCGAAUAACCAGCAUGCUAUUAAUUUGGUGCGUUGGGGAAGCAGGACUGUUACCUUGAAAAAAUUAGAGUGCUUAAAGCAGGCUAUUGCCUGAAUACAUUAGCAUGGAAUAAUGAAAUAGGACGCAUGGUUCUAUUUUGUUGGUUUCUAGGAUCACCGUAAUGGUUAAUAGGGAUAGUUGGGGGCAUUAGUAUUCAAUUGUCAGAGGUGAAAUUCUUGGAUUUAUUGAAGACUAACUUCUGCGAAAGCAUUUGCCAAGGAUGUUUUCAUUAAUCAAGAACGAAAGUUAGGGGAUCGAAGACGAUCAGAUACCGUCGUAGUCUUAACCAUAAACUAUGCCGACUAGGGAUCGGACGAUGUUAAUUUUUUAAUGACUCG